rnacentral:rRNA from 1 species
CCCUUAGAUGUUCUGGGCCGCACGCGUGCUACACUGAGUGGAUCAGCGGGUCAGGUUGCGCGAAAGCGUUUCCUAAUCUUUAAAUCCGCUCGUGAUGGGGAUUGACGGUUGCAAUUUUCUGUCAUGAACGAGGAAUACCUUGUAAGCGCGGGUCAUCAUCCCGCGCUGAAUACGUCCCUGCCCUUUGUACACACCGCCCGUCGCUCCUACCGAUUGAGUGGUCCGGUGAGGCUUUGGGAUCUGAGCGGAAAGAGCGUUUCGCUGUUUCUGCUCGGAAAACUCAGUCGAACCUUAUCAUUUAGAGGAAGGAGAAGUCGAACA